AACGAACGCUGGCGGCAGGCCUAACACAUGCAAGUCGAACGCGCGUAGCAAUACGCGAGUGGCGCACGGGUGAGUAACACGUGGGAACCAACCCAGAGGUUCGGAAUAACCGCGGGAAACUGCGGCUAAUACCGGAUAUCCCCCAAGGGGGAAAGAUUUAUCGCCUCUGGACGGGCCCGCGUCCGAUUAGCUAGUUGGUGAGGUAAUGGCUCACCAAGGCGGCGAUCGGUAGCUGGUCUGAGAGGACGACCAGCCACACUGGAACUGAGACACGGUCCAGACUCCUACGGGAGGCAGCAGUGGGGAAUAUUGGGCAAUGGAGGCAACUCUGACCCAGCCAUGCCGCGUGGGUGACGAAGGUCUUCGGAUUGUAAAG
rnacentral:rRNA from 1 species